rnacentral:tRNA from 1 species
GGCUACCUGGCGCAAUGGUAGCGCGUUUGGCUUCGAUCGCCAACGGCUGCUGAUACCAAACGGUUGCAGGUUCGAGUCCUGCGGUGGUCA